rnacentral:tRNA from 1 species
GCUCGGAUAGCUCAGUCGGUAGAGCAGGGGAUUGAAAAUCCCCGUGUCGGUGGUUCGAUUCCGCCUCCGGGCA